GAAACCCUUCAAGGAAAAGUGACUUUCCUCAAAUUAUUCAGAUAUUUACAUGGCUAGAGCAAGAAUCUAGGUCUUUUGCUCUUUUUACUAUAUUAGAUAUUCAUGGAAGAGUUUGUUCUACAAGAAUUGUAUGAUUUUGUUGGGUUGUGCAUUAUUCCCAUUAAGGCUAUGAGUUUUGUUUGUUGGAAUGUUUGUUAACUUGCUUUGCAUUUUUGCUUACAGAGUUAACAGAGAUAUGACAUGAACAUAUAUCAGAAAAAUGAUUCACACACAAUAGAAAAAAUGAAAACAAGAAGCUGUUGGAAGACACAUUCUGAAUUGGCUAGCACAACACUCUGAAACUGGAGGAUAUCAACUGAUAAGAUAUUAAGUUCUCCCUUAGUUUCAAAUACACUGGGUUGAUAAAUUAUUAACAUAAACAAUGGAUGUUCCGUCAAGUUACCGUGAAGACAGCUAGGUCUGC
rnacentral:lncRNA from 1 species